AUUAAAAAUAUAAAUCUAAUAUUAAAAUAGAAUAGAGCUCUUCCAAACGAGAAUUUUGACACCAAUUUCAAAGAAUUCGGCCCAAGAUUUGGCCGAACGGGCCGAACCGGACCCAUAGGCCCAACCGUUUCAUUAAAUAAAAUGAGUUCAGCUCAUUCUUCUUCUUCUUCAAAGAAGAACCCGUGGAGCAUGCAAGGAAAUGGGGAAGAGGGUUCCAAACCCUUGGCAUAGCUUCAAUCCUCCGUAACUUUCAAUCCGGAGCUCCGAUUGACGAUCCGUUUGCGGCCAUGCGAUCGCCUUAGAGUCCCCUUCA